rnacentral:rRNA from 1 species
GUGAGGAAUAUUGCGCAAUGGAGGCAACUCUGACGCAGCCAUGCCGCGUGCAGGAAGAAGGCGCUACGCGUUGUAAACUGCUUUUAACCGGGAAGAAACCCCAGGACGUGUCCUGGGUUGACGGUACCGGAGGGAUAAGCACCGGCUAACUUCGUGCCAGCAGCCGCGGUAAUACGAAGGGUGCAAGCGUUAUCCGGAUUCAUUGGGUUUAAAGGGUGCGUAGGCGGAGCGUUAAGUCAGUGGUGAAAUCCUGCAGCUUAACUGUAGACUUGCCAUUGAUACUGGCGCUCUUGAGUGCGCUUGAAGUGGGCGGAAUGUGCCGUGUAGCGGUGAAAUGCUUAGAUAUGGCACAGAACACCAAUUGCGAAGGCAGCUCACUAAGGCGAUACUGACGCUGAGGCACGAAAGCGUGGGGAUCGAACAGGAUUAGAAACCCGGGUAGUCC